rnacentral:rRNA from 1 species
AUGAACGCUGGCGGCGUGCCUCAUACAUGCAAGUCGAGCGAACAGACGAGGAGCUUGCUCCUCUGACGUUAGCGGCGGACGGGUGAGUAACACGUGGAUAACCUACCUAUAAGACUGGGAUAACUUCGGGAAACCGGAGCUAAUACCGGAUAAUAUAUUGAACCGCAUGGUUCAAUAGUGAAAGACGGUUUUGCUGUCACUUAUAGAUGGAUCCGCGCCGCAUUAGCUAGUUGGUAAGGUAACGGCUUACCAAGGCAACGAUGCGUAGCCGACCUGAGAGGGGUGGCGGCCACACGGGAACUGAAACCGGGCCCAGCCCAGUGGGGGAGGCGCAAGGAGGGACUUGCCCGGAAGGGGAAAAGGCCGGAGGGGGCAACCCGGGGGGAUUGAUGAGGGUGUCGGAAUGAAAAAACUUUUUUAUGGGGGAAAAAAAAAUUUGAAAGUAACUAUGCACGUCUGGAGGGACCCUAAUAAGAAGGCCAGGCCAAACCCGGUC